rnacentral:rRNA from 1 species
GCAAGUCGAACGAACUUCCGUUAAUUGAUUAUGACGUGCUUGCACUGAAUGAGAUUUUAACACGAAGUGAGUGGCGGACGGGUGAGUAACACGUGGGUAACCUGCCCAGAAGCAGGGGAUAACACCUGGAAACAGAUGCUAAUACCGUAUAACAGAGAAAACCGCCUGGUUUUCUUUUAAAAGAUGGCUCUGCUAUCACUUCUGGAUGGACCCGCGGCGCAUUAGCUAGUUGGUGAGGUAACGGCUCACCAAGGCGAUGAUGCGUAGCCGACCUGAGAGGGUAAUCGGCCACAUUGGGACUGAGACACGGCCCAGACUCCUACGGGAGGCAGCAGUAGGGAAUCUUCCACAAUGGACGCAAGUCUGAUGGAGCAACGCCGCGUGAGUGAAGAAGGGUUUCGGCUCGUAAAGCUCUGUUGUUAAAGAAGAACGUGGGUGAGAGUAACUGUUCACCCAGUGACGGUAUUUAACCAGAAAGCCACGGCUAACUACGUGCCAGCAGCCGCGGUAAUACGUAGGUGGCAAGCGUUAUCCGGAUUUAUUGGGCGUAAAGCGAGCGCAGGCGGUCUUUUAAGUCUAAUGUGAAAGCCUUCGGCUCAACCGAAGAAGUGCAUUGGAAACUGGGAGACUUGAGUGCAGAAGAGGACAGUGGAACUCCAUGUGUAGCGGUGAAAUGCGUAGAUAUAUGGAAGAACACCAGUGGCGAAGGCGGCUGUCUGGUCUGUAACUGACGCUGAGGCUCGAAAGCAUGGGUAGCGAACAGGAUUAGAUACCCUGGUAGUCCAUGCCGUAAACGAUGAUUACUAAGUGUUGGAGGGUUUCCGCCCUUCAGUGCUGCAGCUAACGCAUUAAGUAAUCCGCCUGGGGAGUACGACCGCAAGGUUGAAACUCAAAAGAAUUGACGGGGGCCCGCACAAGCGGUGGAGCAUGUGGUUUAAUUCGAAGCUACGCGAAGAACCUUACCAGGUCUUGACAUCUUCUGCCAACCUAAGAGAUUAGGCGUUCCCUUCGGGGACAGAAUGACAGGUGGUGCAUGGUUGUCGUCAGCUCGUGUCGUGAGAUGUUGGGUUAAGUCCCGCAACGAGCGCAACCCUUAUUACUAGUUGCCAGCAUUCAGUUGGGCACUCUAGUGAGACUGCCGGUGACAAACCGGAGGAAGGUGGGGACGACGUCAAAUCAUCAUGCCCCUUAUGACCUGGGCUACACACGUGCUACAAUGGAUGGUACAACGAGUUGCGAAACCGCGAGGUUUAGCUAAUCUCUUAAAACCAUUCUCAGUUCGGACUGUAGGCUGCAACUCGCCUACACGAAGUCGGAAUCGCUAGUAAUCGCGGAUCAGCAUGCCGCGGUGAAUACGUUCCCGGGCCUUGUACACACCGCCCGUCACACCAUGAGAGUUUGUAACACCCAAAGCCGGUGGGGUAACC